CGCCACCUCAGGAGGUGGAAGCAGUGCACUCUCAACACCGUGUAUGGUGGGGAUGGUGUGAUGCUGAUGUUGAGUAGGGAUGUUGUGGAUUGGUGGAGGGAAUACUUCGAAGACCUCCCCAAUCCCACACGUCUUCCUAUGAGGAGGCAGUGCCUGGGGAAUCUGUGGGUCCAGCGGGAAUGGAUCAGAUCCGCCCGGAGAUCCUUAAGGCUCUGGAUGCUGUGGGGCUGUCUUGGUUGACACGACUGUGCAACAUUGCGUAGACAUCGGGGGCGGUGCAUCUGGAUUGGCAGGCGUCAAGCCAGGACUGGUACAAAUAUCCUGCUGCGGGGGUCUAUUAACACACAAAGGAUAUCCCUGGAGGAAGUCCCACCUCUUCAAUAGCCUGGUCCCGACAGGAAAGCCCAAAUAUGGACAUAUCCUCCCAUAUAUUAUUUGUGCAGCAUGUAACUCCUGACUUUAGCAGAAGACUCUAUUUUUAGCCGUGGAGCAUAAUAUGCACUAUAGUUUCACAUGCACGAGGAGCUCUUUAACACUAAAUAAUGUGUUUUGUGCCUCAAAGUUCUAGGAAUGGCAACACAUCAGUCUACUGCUAGUUCUCCUAGCGUAAUGUCCACUGCCUCGACAAUCCUCUUAGGUAUGUUUCUUUAAUAAAGCAAUGUUUCUUCAAUUAGAUGAGUCACACAUUUGUAAUGUCAAAUAAA